GGACAAGCAAAACAUUUACGAAAGGGAGCUAAACACACCUAAAUAACAGGACAGAGGAUAGGAUGAACAAACAGGAAGCAUCAACCAUACUUCAAGCCAACCGUAACAAAAUUUAGACAGUGAGCAGUAUCUAACCAAGAAAUUCGAGAAGAAACAUGACAGAGAAAAUCAGCUCAAACAGGCGAACAAAUCAUCUUAAAAAUAAAUAAAUACAUAUACUAGUUUUAGAGAGG
rnacentral:lncRNA from 1 species